rnacentral:rRNA from 1 species
GACGAACGCUGGCGGCGUGCCUAACACAUGCAAGUCGAACGGAGAGAUACGAGAGCUUGCUCUUGUAAAUCUUAGUGGCAAACGGGUGAGUAACGCGUAAACAACCUGCCCAACGGAUGGGGACAACAGACGGAAACGACUGCUAAUACCCAAUAGACUCCGGUUUCGCAUGAAACCGACAGGAAAGGUGGCCUCUCGAAGAAGCUACCGCCGCAGGAGUGGUUUGCGUUUGAUUAGGUAGUUGGUGGGGUAACGGCCUACCAAGACGAUGAUCAAUAGCCGGGCUGGGAGGGUGAACGACCAAAAUGGAACUUAGACACCGGCCAGACUCCUACGGGGGGGAGCAGUGGGGAAACAUUCGCAAUGGACGAAAGUCUGACGGAGCAACGCCGCGGGGGUGAAGAAGGCCUUCGGGUUGGAAAGGUCUGUUAGUCGGGAAGAACGAUUCGUUUGUAAAUAAUGAGCGGAAGUGACGGUACCGAAAGAGAAAGCCACGGCUAACUACGUG